rnacentral:rRNA from 1 species
UGGGGAAUAUUGCACAAUGGAGGGAACUCUGAUGCAGCGACGCCGCGUGAACGAAGAAGGCUUUCGAGUCGUAACGUUCUUUUAUAUGGGAAGAUAAUGACGGUACCAUAAGAAAAAGCCCCGGCUAACUACGUGCCAGCAGCCGCGGUAAUACGUAGGGGGCUAGCGUUGUCCGGAAUCACUGGGCGUAAAGGGUUCGCAGGCGGAAAUGCAAGUCAGGUGUAAAAGGCAGUAGCUUAACUACUGUAAGCAUUUGAAACUGCAUAUCUUGAGAAGAGUAGAGGUAAGUGGAAUUUUUGGUGUAGCGGUGAAAUGCGUAGAUAUUAGGAGGAAUACCGGUGGCGAAGGCGACUUUCUGGACUUUUACUGACGCUCAGGUACGAAAGCGUGGGGAGCAAACAGG